UCCUACGGGGGGCAGCAGUGGGGAAUUUUGCGCAAUGGGGGAAACCCUGACGCAGCAACGCCGCGUGGAGGAUGAAGUCCCUUGGGACGUAAACUCCUUUCGACCCGGACGAUUAUGACGGUACGGGUGGAAGAAGCACCGGCUAACUUCGUGCCAGCAGCCGCGGUAAUACGAGGGGUGCAAGCGUUGUUCGGAAUUAUUGGGCGUAAAGGGCGCGUAGGCGGUGCGGUAAGUCACCUGUGAAAUCUCCCGGCUUAACUGGGAGCCUGCAGGCGAAACUGCCGUGCUUGAGUAUGGGAGAGGUGCGUGGAAUUCCCGGUGUAGCGGUGAAAUGCGUAGAUAUCGGGAGGAGCACCUGUGGCGAAAGCGGCGCACUGGACCAUAACUGACGCUGAGGCGCGAAAGCUAGGGGAGCAAACAGGAUUAGAUACCCCUGUAGUCCC
rnacentral:rRNA from 1 species